rnacentral:lncRNA from 1 species
AUGUGUCUGGUAAACCAAAAGAUAUUGCUGAAAUCCGUGGCGACAGUUCAGGAACCAUCUUGUGUGCUUGCAUUUAUUGGAAGUAUAAUGGAUAUAUUUGGCAUUAAACUCAGGACAGAAGAAGACACAAACUUUAUCUUGUGGUUUGGGUCCUCCAAUGCUCGUAAAAGUGUGGUUUCACCUGUUACCUCAUAAAGGUGCCAUUGCUGUAUGCACAUCUGAAUCUAUUUACAAUUUGAGAAUACAGGUGAGAAAGAAUGAUUUUCUAUUUUGUGACAUUCGUAUGGUCAAAAUUUUUAUGAAAUCUCGCCACGAAAUUUCUCCUUUCUGAAAAUAUAAAAUGAGGAACUUUUUUAAAAGAGUAAAAAAUGAUUUAACUAAUUAUACUUGUGUGCUCCAAAACAAAUCUGCACUCAAUUGUUUGUAAUUGGCUUAGCAGACUGAUUCAAGGGCAGUAAAUUUUAAUAGAUUUCGGUAAUAUUCAGCUAUUUCUACAUUAAUGAAGGGAACUAUAUUAUUUAAAAACACCCCAGAGUAUAAAAGCAUUUAUAGAAGCAUUCAGUAAAAUGUUGCAUUGUAAAUGACCUAAAAUUGUUUUCAUAUGUUAUCAUUUAUUUAUCCCCAGGCAGAUUGUAAGCAACUCAAAGGAGCUGUUUUUAAUCCCCUUUUAUUGCAUAAUAUCAUAGUCCAUGUACAGUGUUCGCUAAAUAAGUGUUGCUAACUGAUCUGGGACUUGAACCUUUUUUAUUUGUUAUUCAAAAGUUGUUUUACAUUUUGGGUGGAAGAAAAAGAGUCUUUAAGACUUACAAUAUUUCUGUUAGAUAACCAGUUUUAAUACAUUCUGAAGAAUUCAAAUGUUGUGGGUAAGUGGACUCAUGUGCUCUAUAUUCCAAGCAUUCAGCAAUGCUCUUCGGCUGUGUCCUAUUUGAUUUCAUUAACCAUUCAGUUAAUAAAGUCAAUAUUCAUCAGCCUGUGGUAGACAACUCUUUUUGUAAAUCCACUUGCUCCUUAUAUAUGACCCUUUGAGGCUUUCCAAACAGCAUCUUCAAUUUUGUCUGUCAUGGCACUUGUUUAGAACUAGAAAAAUCUUUGGUAUAAGCUUGGGAGAGGACUUCUUUCAUGAACAGCAAAGUGAAAUAUCUAUUUCUAAACCUUGAGAAACACACUUUACAAUAGGGUAGCCAUUAGCCACUUGAAAUGUGGUUGACCUGAAAUGAGGUAUGCUAUACAUGUGAAAGACAAUGGAUUUUGAAGAAUUAGUACCAAAAUAAUUAGAAUAUAAAAUACCUGAAUAAUUUUAAAAAUACUGAUUCCAUGUUGAAAUUAUAAUAUUUUGGAUAUAUUAGUUUAAAUAAAAUGUUAUUAAUUUAAUUUCCCAUUUCUUUUUUCUAUAUUUCACAAUAAAACAGUUAGAAAUUUUAAAAAGACAUAUGUGGCCCACAUUAAAUUUUUACUGGAUAGUACUGUUUUUAGAGCAGGGUCCCUCAAUCUCAGCAGUAUUGACGUUCUGGGUCAGAUAACUAUCUGUCAAUGGGUUGUUCUGUGCAUUGUAGGAUGUUUAGCAGCAUCUCUGGCCUCUACUGGCUACAUGCCAGUAAAUCUCAUCCUCCUCAGCUGUGACAACCAAAAAUAUCUCUAGACAAUUUCCAAAUGUCCUGUGGUGUGUAACAUUGUUUCUGGUUGAGAACCAUCCUUGAGAGUGUAAAGUAGUGCUUGUAGAGACAUUCACUAGAAUGUUGCUUUGAUGUGUCCUAAGGUCUUUUUUAUGGGUUUCAGGUUGUUUUACCCAAUAGAUUACAUGCAGUUUAUGGAACGUAUGUUAAGUUCAUUUUGCUGCAUAAUAUAUAGUGUUCUAUGCACAGUAAAAAGUAAAUAAUUACUCUUUACCUCUUCCACUUUUUCAUUCCCAAUUUUCACCCACUCCCAACUCAUCUAGGCAGUUAGUUCACAAGGCAGAACGGGCUAUCUGUCACACAUAGUCUUUUAAAAUUUUGGCAUUUAGCAAUCACUGUCAACAGUGUUGUUUUUCUGUACACAAGCAGUGCUGUGAGUCAAUUAAUCAUACAAGACUUAUUGCAGGGACAAACUCGUAUAACUGUCAGUGUAUUAACUGUCUGGGGAAGUGUUGAAGAACAGCCGGGACCCCUCCCCUGCAAGAGCCCAAAGACACUAUAAUAGAAGCACACUAAUUUUAGAAGAAAUUAUAUUUGUUUUGGCCACAGCUGUUGGCAUUCCAACGGGCUCGCAUUCUGUCUGUUGAAAUGAGGAGGUUCUUUUAGAGGUUUGGUUCUGUCUGAGGAUUUGGUGACAUCAUUUAGAGAAUCACUAGGCUGUCAGCAAAUACAUUUUAUGUAUAGUGAAUAACUAUUUAAAACUGGUUUAUAAGAAUUAAGAAUAGGAAUUCUAAAAGCUAAGCGGGAGUUAGUUCUUAGAGGAAAAUGCCUCAUUUAUGAGAGCACCUUCCAAAAUUGAAGUGGAGAGAUUGAUUUUCUGGAGAAUUUCCAGUGUCAUUGGCCACCAGUAUAAAGGAAUAUGCUGAGCGCCACAGCAUGUUUGCUGGCCCCAUGGAUAUAUUUCCAACCUUCUCUUUUCCUCCUCAAAUUUCAAACAUUUGAAUAACUUGCUAACGAUUUGUAUAGUUAGUUACAAUGGUGGCACUGUCUAUUGAAUACCACUGUUGUGAUAUAGGACACACUAUUGUGACUUAAGAAAGCCCCUCCAUCUGCUGCCACAAACUUUGUAGAUUUUGCAUAGCUCUUUGCAGGGGCCCUAAGGACUUCUGUCUCAUAUUGGACAGCAGGUCAAUUUUUAUCUCACAUUCUGGUUUACCUCUAGGUAUGUUUAGCAGCUACUCUAAUGGAGCUGUGAUCAUUGCCUAUUUGUUGAUCGUCAUUAAAUCUAUGGGUAAUCGUGGUUGAACUCAGUUCCAUGUAGCCCAUGUUUAAAAUAGCAAUUUUCCUAAAAAGCUAGAUUGCUUGGCUUACUAGACCUUUCUUCUAAAAUACAUGCUAGUUCCCUUUUUCUUAAUAUGCAAACUGAGUUUCUUCAAUAUUCAUUUCCAGGUCUUUAAGUGUAGCUAUUUAACUACUGAUCUGUGGUGUAUACUUGGUCAUCUUGUGUAUAAAAGUGUUUAGGGGCAACUCUACCCAGAAUAUAAUCAUUUUUCUCUUGGAAUUUAGAAGUUUGAGAGUUUCAAACUUGGGUCACACCUAGCAGUUGCGCUUUAGAUUAUGAUCUUAAACAAUUAGUGUAUUUGUUUCUGUCAAAAGAUUAUAAGUGCAGUAAGGAAAGGAAGCAUGUAUUUGAGGAAACCAG